ensembl:lncRNA
UCUAAAGGUCAGGUAGCUUAGCAUACAAGGCUGCUGCUGUCACACUGAAGGUGUUGCAUUCAUUGUAGGCUGAAUUACAGUCCUCAGAAUAAUCCAAGGGAAGCUGCAAGAUCUAUGAUACAGGGAACCAGGUAAAAUUACCCUCACUGAGGUGUUGUCAUGAUUCACUUGUUUAUUUCCCUUUUCACAUAUGAAUCUUCUGUGACAGUGUAAGAAGAGAUAUAUUGCUCCCAACUAUGGUAAAGUCAUCCUAAGGCCAUGAUUUGAACUCAAAUCCUCUGCUUAGUUUAAUUCAGUUAAACAAGUGAGCUUUGUAUUAAGAGACACUCUCAACUUAGUUUGAUUCCUACAGCUCUUAAAGGUUUUAUUACUACAGAGGCCCGAAUGGAUUUGAGAUAGGAGCCAGAGGAAUGAAAGUUUGUCUAUAUACAAAGGAUUUCACAUAUCCAGGGUAUCAAAAGUAUGUGUUAAUCUGUAUUCAAAUCUAGUUUUUGCAAAAAACUGGUUUUGUUACACAUGACAAAUGGUAUCCAUCAUCAUUGUUUUUAUUAAUUAUUAUGUUGAUUUGAACUUAAAACUUAAAAUAUAGGCUUUUAAGGUUUAGCUGCUCCUGUAAAAAUGAAGUGGAACUCCCUUUCUGUUAUAUACGUACCUGUUAUUCAGUGUUUUAGUUGAGUUGAGGGCAAAGGUAUUUAGGCCAAAGUGGCAUGUGUUGUGGUUAUUUUCUAAUUUCUUGAGUUUAGGGAUAUUACCUAUCAUGUGUUUUACUGAAAGAGAAUGAUUAUUUUUUGUGUAGUGGUUUGUAGCUAUAGAAACAGGACAUUAUUUUGCAAGAUACAGGCUGGGAAAUUUUUCAAGCUCCUUGUUGUAUUACAAAAUUACUCUGAAAAGACAUAGGUCUGUAGGACAUGAAUCAUCCUUUGCUAGACAACUUUCUCAUGAGAGAUUUGUGAUUCUUGCAAAAUCCCUCUUGAGCCCUCAAAAUAUGAAGAACACUACUACCAAAGCAGAGGACAGGAAUUCUCUGAGUUAUAAAUACAUGGCCAUAUGAAAGGCCCUUGGGAAGGGGCUCCCCAGGUAUGUUACACCCAAAAAUACUGCCCAGCUUUUUUCCUCCCCGUCCCACAGAGAUUGCCUUGGGACUCCAUGACCCAAUGGCAGUAGGAGUCAGUCUUUGUUUUGUUUCUUUCUCAAUGGCCUCCAUGAAUGUAGUGGUGCUGGAAACAAUUUAUAUCUCAAGUCUCUGUCCUGCCUGCCCUUUCGCCUGACUUUAUGGCCCAAAUUUUGGGGCUGAUGAUAGGUCUGAACUUUUUCCGCUUCCGCUCGCCCCCUCCCACUCCCUUGCCUUAAAGUGUGGCACACAUUUCCCAUAGACAUUAUUCCCUUACUUGAUAAAUACUGUAGUGCUGUUCAGUUUCCUAAUAUUCUAUUUAGUGCUGAACAAUAGAAAGUUGCGAAAUAUAGGAUUUACAGUAUUAAGGAGAAUGUGACUUGUAUACACAUCAGUAUUUGAUUAGCACCAUAUGAAUGGCUGAAGUUUAGAGACAGGAAAGAUUAAUAAUUUGGGCUAAAAUAGGCUAGGAACUGACUCACCAGUUACUCCUUCCUCCCCCCACAUUCCACAUGGGAAAAACGCAUUCAGAACAGAAGACUUCACUGUGAGUUCAUGGAUUAUAGUAUAUUUAAUUUUCAGGAUUUUCACGUGGACUGGAUCAAUUAAAAUUUUUAUUAAAAAAAACCAAAUUUAUUUUUUUUUUGUCUUUUUAGGGCUGCACCCACAGUAUAUGGAGGUUCCCAGGCUAGGGGUCAAAUUGGAGCUGUAGCUGUUGGCCUACACCACAGUCACAGAAACGCGGGAUCCAAGCUGCAUAUGUGAUCUACACCACAGCUCAUGGCAACGCCGCAUCCUUAACCCUCUGAGCAAGACCAGGGAUCAACAUGUGUCCUCAUGGAUGCUAGUCAGAUUCGUUUCCACUGAGCCAUGACUAGCACUCUGAAAAAAGUAAUUUCUUAAUCAGUCUAACUGGUUUCAUAUAUUGCUUGAAAAUAUGUUUAUGAGUGAGCACUAUUGUUCCAAGUUGAAACAAGUAGGAUACUAAGUUGUAUUUCCUUGAGACAGCAAAUGAGAAUAAAGUCUUCUAAAUGCAUUAGAAAUAUUGGAGGCUGAGAGUCCAGCGAAGUGAUUUUAAUUGUAGAGAUAAGAAAUAAACUGCUAAACCAGGACAUUGGUAAUAGGGGUGGAGAAAAGGAGGAAGAUUAGUAUUUAGAACUAUCAACCUUGGUGAUUGACUGAACUGGGGUAGGAUCUGGAAGAGAGAAGGAAGAACAGGCAUGGUGGAGUUAGGGAGAGACAAAAGUAGGUAGGAGGAUGAGUGUGCUUUUGGACACAGUAACUCUAGGUGAUUGUGGGACCUUGUUACUAAGUACUGAGGUAGCUUGUUUUUGGGAGCAGAGCCCCUCCCAAAGAAUCUCUUGGGUCUAUGAGUUGUGGUUGUCUUUAAAAACCUACCUGCUUUCCUAAUGCAAGCUGCAAAAAAAUAUACAAAAUCGUGACUAGCAGGAAUAGACAGAAAAUAGCAUAUCCUCACCUUAACCUGGGUGCAGGUGUGGCAGGGAGAAACCCCCGGGGGGGGGGGGGUGGAGGUGUGUUAAAACCCUUGGGGUGUGAAGUUUUUAUACAGAGAGUCAAAUAUUAGCAAAGGUUGACCUUCUAUGGCAUAUUAUGACAGAGUGAUUUAAUAACAACCACAGCUUUCUUGGAAAUGGUAACUUUAGUUUCUUUCUUCUUUGAUCUCUGCAUUUUAAGUUUUGCUCUGUGAGUAUUCUUUAGUCUUGUAGAUACUAGGAACAUGCUGUAUUUCAAAAAGUGUUUGUAAGACAUUUUUCUUUUUUCAUAUCUCUGAGAACACUGUUUCUUUGGCAGCAGGUUAUGUAGGGAGGUUAGGUUCCCAGGGUAGCUCCCUUUUUGCAAAUUCUACUUAAUGUACAUUACACAUGAGCUGUUUUUUGUUUGUUUGUUUGUUUGUUUUUCCUUCUUUUUGGCCAUGCCCCUUUCUGGGCCAGGGGUUGAACCUGUGCCACAGUGUAGGGCUGACCAUAGGUUGUAUCUUGAAAUUGACAAAAAGAAUGAAAAAAAAUUUUUUUUGGUCACCCUGUGGCAGAAGUUGGUAAAUUUUAUCAUUGGGAUCCCCCAAAUCCCUUUCUGUACCCCUUUUCCACAUAAUGGUGCCCCUCCCUUCAGAUGACACCCUUCCUUCUGUGAUUUCCCCCCUGCCAGAUCUUCUGUUUCUCAGUGUUCCAGAAUCUCCUACUUCUUCUUCCUCAGUGCCUCAUUUCUGUCAUACUUCUCUCUCCUAAUUAUCAGAAUGAACUGUUAUGCUAAAAUCAUUUUUGCAGGUGCUAUCAUUAUUAUUUUUAAAAGAUGGUUGUUAAAAACAUGAAUUGUUUGGCAAAAUAUCUGGCAGGUACCACAGGAAAGUGAAUAAAUAAAGUUAGACAAUGAAAGGAGGAUGUUUUAGGGGAGUGGGUUAUUAUAUAAGCAGCCCUGAUUUAAGAUUCUCCCUUGGGAAUAAUCAGCUCUAAGCUAUUUCUACUUUUCAAGUCUUGCCUCUAUUCCUUUAGGAGCCCAUCUCUCUCAGAGCUUCUCUUUAUUCAUGACUGUUUCUGUGAGAGUAGCAGAGAGACUUCUGGAGUUAAGGGUGUGUAGCCAAAGAGGGGCAAGAAGAAUGGCUCUUCUAAGUUUGAGACUGCUUAUAUGACCUUUUGAGUUGAAGGGUAUUUAACAAGUUGGCUUAAUAUAAGCAAUGAUUAAUAAUUGUUUUCAUCUUUCUUACCUACAAAGGGGGACAUGCACUUUCUAAGCUUAGGCAAUUUGAUUAUUGAGGCAAAUGAUUAAUAUCAUUAAAAGCAUUGGUUUCUAAUAAUUUAUGAAGUACCUUCUGUUUCUGUUAAGUUGUAUGCUUACCAAAGUCAUUUUGUUUCCAAACCGAUACUGCCAACUGUAAUUGCUAUUUGAUUUACUUAAACAUGAUGAAAUUGAUGAAAUGUGUGUGGGGAAAAAAAGAGAUACUUCAGUGAAAAUUGUCUUUUGCAUGAAUUGAUAAAGCUUCUGAAAAGAUUACGCACUGCAUUAAGCAUAGGUUAGGGAGCUGAAUGCCUAGGGGAAGAUAAAAAUCUAAAAGGAUUCCUCUGGCUUUGCAGGUAUCUUUAAGUUCUCUCUUCUAAGAAAAUGCAAAUUGUAAAUACAUUGAGGCUGUGGUUUAUGAAAAGAAGACUGCUUUGAACUGUUGCUAAGGAGCCACUAUUAAAAGAAAGGGCCUUAGCUCCGCAUGAGAAGAUUGAUGAAGUAUAUUUCAUGUUUACAAGUUAAAAUAAAAUGUUGAAGAUAAUUUUUACUUUUUUUGGGGGGCCACACCAUGGCAUGUGGAAGUUCCCAGGCUAGGACUGAACCUGCGCCACAUCAGUGACAAAGUCAGGUCCUUAACCUGCUGUGCCACCAGGGAACUUAGUAUUCUCAUUCUUCAAAAUUGACUAAUUACAAAUUAGUUUAUUGUAACUUUCUUUCUAUGACAGAUGAUAUUUAUUGGAUGUGGAAAUUUUGUGGAAGUGAAAAAUCUGGGAAUGAUUUCAACAUACAGUGAUUGAACCCGUGUAAUUAUAAAUAUUUUUGAAGAAUUUAUCCAGGGAUAGACUUCUGGAACAUUUGUCCUCUAAGGUAGUCUUAAGGGAUUCUGUAUAUUUGUACCUUGACAUUUGUCUCAGAAUUCGGCAUUUUUAGUAGGAUUUUUAGUAGGGAAGUUGCUAAGUGUCAUUUACAGGUGAGGUCUGAUGGAUACUUUGGAACUCUUCGCUUAAUCCUAACAGUUCUUUUCAAAUGCAGAUGAACUGUCAUUCUACUACCUAGGCUUACUCUGAUCUGGCUCACCCUUCAGGAUAGGAUGAAGAAAGCAGUUUGUCCCUAAGGAGUUUGCUGGAUUGACUUUUUGUCCCUA